rnacentral:lncRNA from 1 species
AUAAUAAAACGUAUUAACUCUUUGAUUCUUUAACAUCGGAGCAAGUACUGAAUCAGCGGGUUGAACCGAGUUAAACUCAAGAGUUGACGAUUUUCCCGAGUCACGGUCAACUAAACAGUAAGAAAACGAUGAAGCUUUGAUCUGCGAAAUUAAAGAUUGCGACCCACCACCAAGUCCGAGUAAACCAGCUGCACCAACGAAUAAACCUUCGUUAUCGUGGCCACAACCGAUAGCAACACGGUUCACUGACCCGGAGUUUCCAAAAGAGACUGUUUCAGUGCUAUAUUCUCCAACAGUGAAUGAGCCAUCACCGUAAGAAACUUGGUAUUGACAUUUACCAUCACGACAACCAGAAAGUUCGAGUGAUUGACAUUGUUCUGCUUCACAGGUCAUGGGUUGAUAGGUUGAUGAUGAAGUUGGGUCGUAUAUUGGGUCAGUUUGUUGGUAACAUUCUGUGCAUGGUUUGCAUUGGAUCCAGU